rnacentral:rRNA from 1 species
UACGUAGGUCCCGAGCGUUGUCCGGAUUUAUUGGGCGUAAAGCGAGCGCAGGUGGUUUAUUAAGUCUGGUGUAAAAGGCAGUGGCUCAACCAUUGUAUGCAUUGGAAACUGGUAGACUUGAGUGCAGGAGAGGAGAGUGGAAUUCCAUGUGUAGCGGUGAAAGGCGUAGAUAUAUGGAGGAACACCGGUGGCGAAAGCGGCUCUCUGGCCUGUAACUGACACUGAGGCUCGAAAGCGUGGGGAGCAAACAGG